CAGAGGCAUGAGCCACCGUGCCCACCCACCUCAUUAACCUUUUAACAACAGCAGUACUACAUUCGUUUACAUUACCUUUUUUUUUCCGUAACAAAUUUUUUGGCUGGGCGCGGUGGCUCACGCCUGUAAUCCAAGCACUUUGGAGGCCGAGGCGGGCGGAUCACCUGAGGUCAGGAGUUCAAGACCAGCCUGCCCAACACAGUGCAACCCUGUCACUACUA